AAACAAGUCAACCCCACCAACCUACCACCUUUCACAAAAACGGAGAGCCAAAAACAAAGAAAAACAAGCCCAACCACAAGACCGAACUCCAAAUACAAAGUCACAACACAAAAAUCAAGAGAAACCCACAUAGCCAAACAAGCACAACAUCAAACCCAUGAAAGCAAAAUGCCUUUUUUAUGAGUCCCACUACAAGCCACCAAUUGGACAGCAAGAAGAGCAUCAGAGAGGGGAAAAGAGAGAAGCAGAAGGCAACCAUUUUGAAGUGAGAGGAGUAGGUGGGUACCUGAGAGGGGAGAGACAAGGGUGGUGGUGGUGAUGGUGGUGACGGUGACGGUGGUUGUGGGAGCGUAGAAACCGAGGAGAAUCAGAGGGAGUUGGGGUGAAAUCUGAAGGGGUAGUGAAGAAAAAAGGGAAGGUGGUGGUGUUGUGAGGCUGUAGAGAGAGAGAAAGAGAGAUUGUUGCUCAUGCAUCUACCACCUUUUGUUGUUAUUUCUCAUCAUCUCAUUAUGUCCUGUUUGGAGAGAGAGAGAGGAAGGUGGUGGUGGUGGUAAUGGUAGAGAGAGAAUUAACAAAAAAACAAAGCGAGAGAGAAGGGUUGAAUUGAGAAAGGCAACGUAUGCGCUACUAUGUACUUUAGCUUGUUCAUUUCCAAUUACGCCCUUCUUAUAUCGCAUCUAGGACAAACACGUCCUAGGUUUUUUAUGGCCCCCUUCAAUUUACCUUUUUGCCCUUCACUUAUCUAUCACCAAGUCAUGCUACAAAAGUCUCUCAAUAAUAUUAUUUAAUAAACAUCACUUACUAAAAUAAUGUUAUUUUUUCGAGCAUUCUAAAUAUAUAUAUAUAUCAAUCAGUCUCUUUAAUCAUUUUUUAUGAAAAACUUAUCGAAUGAUUUUGUCAAAUUUUAAAAAAUUAAAUAAAUAUUGAGCUGGUUGGACCAAAUUCUCCUAAACUCGUUUUUAAAAAUUAUUUUUUACUAUUUAACUUAGAAAACAAGUCUUAAAAAAUAUAUCCAAAUAGACCCAUAUUUUUCUUUUGUUUUUAAAAAUUGGUGAAAAUAAUUCCUACUUAGAACUUGUUUGAAUAGUGUGAUUUAAAAAUAAUUUUUUAUUUUUAAAAACAAAAAAUUGUUUUCAAUUUUUUUUAUAUUGUUUAAUCAUUGUUUUUUGUAAAUAAUUUUUAGAAAUAAAAUGAAAUAGAGAAUAUUCUUUAGAAAAUAAGUAAAAGUUAUUUUCAUCAAUUUUUUUAAAAUAAAAAGAAAAUAUAAGUCUGUUUGGUUAUGGUUUUUUUAAACUUGUUUUUAGAAAUUGCUUUUAAGUUAAAAAAUAAAAAACAGUUUUUAAAAACAAGUUUUAAAAAAUAUGGUCAAACGGAUCCUCAUUAUUAAAAAAUUAUUUUCUAUUUCAUUUUAUUUUUAAAAAUUAUUUUAAAAAAAACAACAGUAAAACAAUAUUAAAAAAUUUUAAAAACUAUUUUUAAAUGAUGUUGCAAACAGGCUCUAUGUCGUAAAUGUGUUGAAAAGAUAAUAGUCAUAAACAUUUUUUUUAGAGUUGCAAUUACUCUUCUACCCUGAUAUUUAGAAGGGUUUAAUUAUUGGUUAAUGUGUGAUAUUUAUGUAGGGUUUAGGGAACAAAAAUUUACAAAUUUUGAUUGGGGAAUGUGCCACUUGCCCUAAACUUGAGGCAGUCAACAUGGAUUUUUCUUUUUAAAUACCCAAUUAGGCAUCCCAACUACAAUUCAUUAGUUCAACCAUCCUUACCAAUAGUCUUCAAAAUCUAAUAAAAAAAAAAAAUGAGUAAUUGUAAAUUUUUUGUUAUAGUAUCAUAAUGUUAUUAGAGUAAAAAUUGUGCACCAAAAAUUAAUUUUUGAUUAAAUUUUCUAAUUUUAGGAGGAAAAUAUAUCAUCUUAUGAGACAAAUUUGUCUAAUUUAUAGUAACUAAAACAAUAUUUUAAAAAUUACUUCAUUAUGAUUUUUCAUAUUGUAAUUUUGAAAUUUACUUAAAGAUAGGUUUUAUUUAGGGAUGGACCCAUCUAAGAUUGGGAAUAAAAUACAUAUUUUUAUUAUUGAAUAAUAGAAAAUUUAUUUGACUAUGAGUCACCCUUUAUUUUUGUUUGAUGUGGAAAUUAAAGACCUAAUGGAGUUGUCAACAUCUCCCUCAAUUUCCACAUUAUUAUUGAGUCAAUAUGUGAGAGGUUGUCACAAUAAUGCAGGCAGCCCUAGCUGCUCCAUGUGAGGUCCACAAGAAAAUUGCCCUCAUCCUCCUCUUAUUUGCAAACACAAGGAAAAUAAGAGAGA
rnacentral:lncRNA from 1 species